UUGAGAACAAAACGUCGCUCUAGAAAGAAAACACAGCACGUAAGCAUAAAGUUACUUUUUAAGGCUACUAUCUUUAUAAAAGUGUGCUCUCUAGAUACACUGAAUCUGACUUUAUCUUGUCUUUUACAGGAAGGUGUCUGUUUUCACCGGCUUGUGAGGAAAGAGAUGUAUCUGGCUACCAAAUAGUAGGAGAUGCAUCUCUGCCAAUAAGUAUUGUUCCACAGAAAGUCUUCAGUAGUAAUAACUGGUGCUGGUAAGAAAGAGACUAUAGCAAGGAAAAAAAUCCCCUUCCAAGCCUGAGCCACAGUUACAAGGCAAGACAUGCUUUUCUCAUUAACCUUAAUUAAACUGCUCAGUAAAAAUUCUCCAAGGAUUAAAGCAGUGGAAAUCAUUACAAUUCUUGUUAUUCUGUCUUCUGGCAGAAAUUUCUUUGAGUGAAUAAGCAAAAGUGUCAUUAGCGUUGCUGUACGUAGAGAACAGAGCCACUCAGACUUGGUGAUACAGUUUCAAAGCAAUCAGCAGGGGAAAAAGGAAAAACGAACACUUCCACACACCCUCCCCACACACCCUCACACCCUACCCCCCCCCCCCAAAAAAAACCCAAACAAGACACUAACUUGUUUGCAUUCAUAUUUUUUUCUUCAGAAAGCUCAUUUCUAGUGCUACUUCAGAGAUCAGCUACCAAAAGUCACAUCACUGAAUUCACACUAUUUAAAAAAGAACAACCAGAGUGCAAAAAUUGGUGUCAAAUGCCAGUGAAAGUAUGAUAUGUACAAGUAUGUACAGUCUUCUUGUUUUCGAGGACUGCUCACAUUCUGCUCACCCACCACAGGAAUUUCAAAAUGUCUGUAGCUGAAGCUUUGCUUCCACAAUGUAUCAUUUCAGGAACCUCUUACACAGCCUCCACGGUGUAGUAACUCCUUAUCAGCUAUCAGACACUGGACUGGCUCUUGUAUGGAUGAGGUAAAAAAAAGGGAAUUUUGAACCCUUAACUUCAAUGAAUAAUGAGAUAACUGUGUAGUUCUAGAUUUGAUAUUUUAGUGAAAACUUUCAAGAAUGGAGAUGCUGAGUUUCUCUAUUAAUUACAUACUGAAAGUCAAAUAAUUAAGAUUUAGCAUAUUUUUUGUAAGUAGGAAUUCAAAUUUUUCAUCACAUUAAUGUUGGAGCCAAUAUUUAUCUUACAAAGUAUCUUGUUUCUUUGAAAUGUCAUAUGUUCCUUAUGGAGUGAGAUAAUCACAUUCUGAAAAUAAGUCACAAAUUGUUAUCAGUUAUUGUAAUUAAUUGUGUGGAAAAAUUGCAUUGCAGAACUUGUUAAAAUUCUUCCUUGGAUAUGUAUGCUGACUCCUCCAUCUUCUAUUCCCAUGUAUCAACAAAACCACCACCCAAGGCUACUGUGCCUUAAACUCAGAUGGUGAGCCUGAACAUUUCCUACUAUUAAUUUCUGACCUAAA